rnacentral:rRNA from 1 species
AAGAGACAGCAGCAGCCGCGGGAAUACAGAGGGUGCGAGCGUUAAUCGGAUUUACUGGGCGUAAAGCGUGCGUAGGCGGCUUUUUAAGUCGGAUGUGAAAUCCCUGAGCUUAACUUAGGAAUUGCAUUCGAUACUGGGAAGCUAGAGUAUGGGAGAGGAUGGUAGAAUUCCAGGUGUAGCGGUGAAAUGCGUAGAGAUCUGGAGGAAUACCGAUGGCGAAGGCAGCCAUCUGGCCUAAUACUGACGCUGAGGUACGAAAGCAUGGGGAGCAAACAGGAUUAGAUACCCCGGUAGUCCCUGUCUCUUAUAC